UACGUAGGGUGCGAGCGUUGUCCGGAAUUAUUGGGCGUAAAGAGCUCGUAGGCGGUGUGUUACGUCGGCCGUGAAAACCUGCAGCUUAACUGUGGGCGUGCGGUCGAUACGGGCAUCACUGGAGUUCGGCAGGGGAGACUGGAAUUCCUGGUGUAGCGGUGAAAUGCGUAGAUAUCAAGAGGAACACCUGAGGUGAAGACGGGUUGCUGGGCCAACACUGACGCUGAGGCGCGAAAGCCAGGGGAGCAAACGGG
rnacentral:rRNA from 1 species